GGGCCAUAGCUCAGUGGCAGAGUGACUGCUUUGCCGGCAGAAGGUCCCAGGUUCGGUUCCUGACAUCUCCA